GAUGAACGCUGGCGGCGUGCUUAACACAUGCAAGUCGAACGAAGCACUUUAUUCGAUUUUCUUCGGAGAUGAAGAUUUAGUGACUGAGUGGCGGACGGGUGAGUAACGCGUGGAUAACCUGCCUCACACUGGGGGAUAACAGUUAGAGAUGACUGCUAAUACCGCAUAAGCGCACAGUACCGCAUGGUACGGUGUGAAAAACUCCGGUGGUGUGAGAUGGAUCCGCGUUAGAUUAGCCAGUUGGCGGGGUAACGGCCCACCAAAGCGACGGACAAUAGCCGACCGGAGAGGGUGACCGGCCACAUUGGGACUGAGAAACGGCCCAAACUCCAACGGGAGGCAGCAGUGGGGAAUAUUGCGCAAUGGGGGAAACCCUGACGCAGCGACGCCGCGUGAGCGAUGAAGUAUUUCGGUAUGUAAAGCUCUAUCAGCAGGGAAGAAUAAAUGACGGUACCUGACUAAGAAGCCCCGGCUAACUACGUGCCAGCAGCCGCAGUAA
rnacentral:rRNA from 1 species